rnacentral:lncRNA from 1 species
AACAUGUUGAUUUUAAGAGGAAAAAAUUAAGGAAUAAGUCCAUUUAUCUCUGCAGCCUCUGCACAGAAUGUGCUCAGUAAUGUUUUUUGAUAAUAGUAAUAAUGUAAUACAGUUAAUUACUUGCCUUAGCACCUGGCUACAAGUCACCAUUAUUUGACACUGAUAUGUCAGAUUCCAUGCUAGAUUCUUGACUCUAGCUAUUCCCACUCAUUCUUACAAAAAGUAGUUAAAUAUAUUAGUCUCAUUUUGCAUAAGAGAAGAAACGAGUCUUACAAAGUUUAAGCAUCUCCCCCUGGGUUCACAUAUUUGGUAGUCAAAUUCAAUCUCAAGCCCAUCUGGCCCCUGUAUCUGUGCUCUGUGACAUUACUCCUACUGUCUACAUCGCAGGUACUGUAUAGUAAGUACCUUGAGAAAAUGUAACUUUCUUUUCAGCUUCUUGCUGUAACUGAAGUAUGUUCAUUCUCCAAAUCACUGAAACAUUUGGCUCAAUGCAGCUCUCACUCCUGACAUUCACGUUGAUAAUUUUCAUAUGUGUGAAGAUGUUCCCAAUAUUUUUCUAAUUUAUUAACUUCUGUCUUUUGAAAUGUAUGUAUUAAUGUCAUGCUUCUACUCAAAAUUCCAGGUCUUGAGGCUUUCAGCCUCAGACUGAAAGUUAUACUAUCAGCUUCCCAAUUAUCAACAUAAAAUGCUGAAACUUCCUCAAAAAAUAAAGAAAUUUUCUUUUUAUACAUCUGCUUUCAUGAAAUAGAAAAUUUAUAAAUUCAUUUUAGCAUUUCAUUACUGCAUAAAAAGUUG